CCUACGGGUGGCAGCAGUGGGGAAUAUUGCACAAUGGGGGAAACCCUGAUGCAGCGACGCCGCGUGAGUGAAGAAGUAUUUCGGUGUGUAAAGCCCCAUCAGCAGGGAAGAAGAAAGACGGUACCUGACUGAGAAGCACCGGCCAACUACGUGCCAGCAGCCGCGGUAAUACGUAGGGGGCAAGCGUUAUCCGGAUUUACUUGGUGUAAAGGGCGCGUAGACGGCUGUGCAAGGCUGAAGUGAAAGCCCCGGGCUCAACCCUGGGACUGCUUUGGAAACUGUGGAGCUAGAGUGCUGGAGAGGAAAGUGGAAUGCCUAGUGUAGCGGUGAAAUGCGUAGAUAUUAGGAGGAACACCAGUGGCGAAGGCGGCUUACUGGACAGUAACUGACGUUGAGGCUCGAAAGCGUGGGGAGCAAACAGGAUUAGAUACCCUGGUAGUC
rnacentral:rRNA from 1 species